AUACUCAAAGAAGGUCAAAGAAAACAAAAAUUAGUAUUUCAGUCUGGAUUUAGAAACGGUGGUGGCCAUCUUGAAAAAAUGAAAUUUUCUUAAAGCCAGCAGUCUUUUCUUAAAAAGCAUAUAAUAAUGAUGCUUCGUGCUAAUUUUCAUGCUUGUAUCAUCAUUUGUACAAUUCCCUUGAUUUUGCUUGCUCAUAUCUGUUAGUGUUAGUGUCAAGGUCACAACACACUUCUAAACAGAUAUACCUACGGUAAGGGCAUCGCAACUUAAAAUGCAAAUAAUAGAUAUAAAAAGAAUAAAACGCAUAACAUGACAAGCGCUAAAUAUGUCUUUUAUUAAUGGAACAAUUAUUCUCGGUACUUUCAAUGACACUGCUUACAGCAACACCAUGAAUUUUGUAUGCAUUCUGCUGCAGCACAUUUCUUGUAUAUCCUACAGUUGCGAACGCAUUCCAGAUAACCAAAUCCACAAUCAAAUGAGUAAUAACAGUUAAACGGGGUACGUAGAUUAUUGGCGGGACUCGAAUCAACUCUCUGAAAUCCUAAAGAAAAAAAACAAAUUCAUUAUAAACCAAACAUCAAGUAUUAUAUUUUUCUUUAAAAGUGUAAAAAAAUCAAGUUCGAAACAAGCAAAGGGUACAACUAUGUCUCAGUAUGUCAAUCAUUUCAAUCGAGAAUUGAGC
rnacentral:lncRNA from 1 species